AAAGGAAUAGACGGGGGCCCGCACAAGCAGCGGAGCGUGUGGUUUAAUUCGAUGCAACGCGAAGGACCUUACCAAGGUUUGACAUGCUAGAAGUAGAAACUCGAAAGAGGGACCACCUGUAUCCAGUCAGGAACUAGCACAGGUGCUGCAUGGCUGUCGUCAGCUCGUGCCGUGAGGUGUUAGGUUAAGUCCUGCAACGAGCGCAACCCUCAUUGCUAGUUAAUUUCUCUAGCGAGACUGCCCGUAUAACGUGGAGGAAGGUGGGGAUGACGUCAAGUCAGCAUGGCCCUUACAUCUUGGGCAACACACACGCUACAAUGGAUGAUACAGAGGGUUGCCAAGGAGCGAUCCGGAGCUAAUCCCUAAAAUCAUCCUCAGUUCAGAUUGUAGGCUGCAACUGCCUACAUGAAGGAGGAGUUGCUAGUAACCGCAGGUCAGCACACUGCGGUGAAUACGUUCUCGGGCCUUGUACACACCGCCCGU
rnacentral:rRNA from 1 species